AUGCUCGCGCAACAGUUCCUGGUCCGCCCCAGAUCCCAGGCCCAUGCCCUCGACCGCGUCAUGGCCGCCGUCCUGGCCAUCAAGUUGUUGGAGGAGCACCUCAUCCCGCGCCGCGCUGAGUGCCUCGCCAGAGGCAAGGCCCCCGUCCCCGGAAAGACCCCCGACUCCUCCACCUCCUCGCCGGACAGCAGCCCCGACAGGGACGACCCGGACCCGGUUGUGGCCGCCACUGAGGCCCUUGCCAAGGUCGACCUCUCCGACGACCCGGACACCACCGCCACCGCCAAGUCCGGCUCCAGCAAGCCCCGUCAGGCAGCCAGAGGCGGCGGCGGCGACGUGGGCAAGUCGCUCGACUACAUGUACUGCGCGUGCAGGAUCGCUCGCCGUGAAGCGCAUCGACAUCGCCGUCUCCGUCCUCUCCCACUUCAUGGAGCCCAAGAAGCUCGCCAGCCUCGCCGAGUGACGCGUGGAGCGGCAGCAACAGCAGGACGCCGCCGUGCCAUUCCUCGUGGGCGGCAACGAGGUCAGCUUCGGUUGCCCCGGCAGCUUCAGGCCACCAUCGCCGGGCGCCGGCGUGCUCCCCCUCGUCCACUCUGGCCACAACCUGGGCAGCAGGCGCUCGUCACGAUUAAGGCGUCCUGCGGGUUAAUUUCCAUAUAUAGUAGGGGGCUGAAUGCAAAAUGGGGUGCGCUGACUGGCUCGGCCGAGCUGGCUCCACUUGGCGGCUGUUCAUUGGCCCAGGACCAAAUUUGCACCUUGAGGACAAGUUGGAGGAUCAAAUAA
rnacentral:rRNA from 1 species